CGGGAGGACCGGCUCAGCCUCAGCUACGCCGACCCCGCGCGGGGCUCGCCCAGCUUCUACCACUUCCGACCCGUCAAGGUGCAGCCUGCUGUUGCAGAUCACAGGAAGAAGGCGCCGCCGCUGCCGCUGCCGUCCUACUACCAGCCGCCCUACCUGAUCCCGCGGUGCUCAGGGUACAUCAGACAAGAGGACAACCUGUACAACACCAUCGACCACAUCAAGUCGCAGUACCGCGGCCCACCGGAGCGCACGCUGUCUGCGGGCAACCCCAAUGUGUUCUUCUACCGGACUCCACCGCACCCGGGCAUGAUGUACUGAGGGCGGCGGCGGCGACGGCUCCACUCUACUGUGGAGAGAUGAUCUCUGACGGCGUUGGAUGCCGGAAAAUGCGCGGUCGUUGUCGAUGAAAAGUGCCGGACCUGUGGUGGGAGACCACGGUGCCAAUACGAGCGCUUGGGGUCGCGUUCGGCGAGGGGCGAGAGCGCGGUCCGAGCGUGGGUCGUUCCGUGAGUGGUGUGUUUGAGAUCGAGUGCGAGAUGCGAUUGGUGCGUCGUGUGCUCUGGGAGGAGUGGGCGGGGGGAAAGUGUCGCACUGAGACUGAGUGGUGUGGCCUGAUGCAUUGGCGAUGCACUGCACUGUACCAUUGGUAUUGAAUUGCAUGGAGCCAAACAUCUCCAAGUGUACUUAGGCCGUGACCGAAGUUGGGGCGACUUGUGGCAUGGCGGAUACCAGUGAAAGAGCGCCGUCUGAUAUGAAUUCUAGUGCGGUUUGCCAUGUCAUAAUCGACGUGCCAGCGAGUGCAUAUGGAACAUAGGCGAAUAAUGUUAUGGUUAGGUCUCGAUGCCGAGCUGCGACCCCAGCCUGACAGCCUGAGGUGUCACGAGGCAAAGAAAUGAAGAUCUUUGCGUGGCAGCCAGGCAGGAGCUGCACACAGGCGUGUGAUGACGCAAUACAUGCCAGG